rnacentral:rRNA from 1 species
GUGCAGCAGUCGCGAAACUUCACAAUGUGCGAAAGCACGAUGAGGGAAUCCCAAGUGCUUGCACGUAAGUGUAAGCUGUUUCUCUGUCUAAAACGCAGAGAGAGUAAGGGCUGGGUAAGACGGGUGCCAGCCGCCGCGGUAAUACCUGCAGCUCGAGUGGUGACCGUUAUUAUUGGGCCUAAAACGUCCGUAGCCGGUUUAAUAAAUGCCUGGGUAAAUCGGACCGCUUAACGGUUCGAAUUCCGGGUAGACUGUUAAACUUGAGACCGGGAGAAGUUAGAGGUACUCCUGGGGUAGAGGUGAAAUUCUGUAAUCCUAGGGGGACCACCAGUGGCGAAGGCGUCUAACUAGAACGGGUCUGACGGUGGGGGACGAAGCCCUGGGGCGCAAACGGGAUUAGAUACCCCCGUAGU